CCUACGGGUGGCAGCAGUGAGGAAUAUUGGUCAAUGGGCGAGAGCCUGAACCAGCCAAGUCGCGUGAAGGAUGAAGGAUCUAUGGUUUGUAAACUUCUUUUAUAUGGGAAUAAAGUGAGGAACGUGUUCCUUUUUGUAUGUACCAUACGAAUAAGCAUCGGCUAAGUCCGUGCCAGCAGCCGCGGUAAUACGGAGGAUGCGAGCGUUGUCCGGAUUUAUUGGGUUUAAAGGGUGCGUAGGUUGUUUUAUAAGUCAGCGGUGAAAGUUUGUGGCUCAACCAUAAAAUUGCCGUUGAAACUGGAGAACUUGAGUGUGUUAGAGGUAGGCGGAAUGCGUGGUGUAGCGGUGAAAUGCGUAGAUAUCACGCAGAACACCGAUUGCGAAGGCAUCUCACGGAACCGCGAUUGACGCUGAUGCACGAAAGCGUGGGUAUCAAACAGGAUUAGAUACCCGAGUAGUC
rnacentral:rRNA from 1 species